AUGCGACGCAACACUCCUCGUCGGGACCGGUGUUGCAAUGCGGAGCUCGUUGACGUCGCCGGCGGCUGCUAUGCAGCACUCGCGAACGUUGUGCUGCCACGCGGUUGCGAUGCAACGUUCGCCGCUGUCGCCGACGCUGGGAUGUGGCGGCCGCCGUCGGCUGCCGGUGCUGCAACGCAGCCUCGCCGACGCUACCAUGUAGCACUUCGAGACGCUGCAGUGCUAUGCGGUUGUGAUGCAGCGUCCGCCGGGACGUGGCGGCCGUCGUUGGCCGCCGCCGCUGCUAUGCAGCACUUUGCGACGCGUUGCUAUGCAUCACGUCAGCGGUUGCCGAUGUAG
rnacentral:rRNA from 1 species